UGCUUUCGUUUCUCUUGCGUUCCUCUCUCUCUCUCUCUCCCUCCCUUUUCUGCUCUCUUGAAUCUCGACUCUCUCAAAUACAUUCUGCUCCCUUUUCUCUCACUUUUUGAUUAAAUCAAAGGGUUCAGUUGAGCACUCAAGUGUCUUUGAGAUUUUGAGUUUAAGGGUUGCAUUUGGUGAUUGAAGCUCUGACAUUUGUGCACAAUUAGGAGGUCUGAUUUUUUGAUUUGGUUGGAUUUGUGGAUUCUCUCUAUAAUUCAUAUAAUUGAUCUUUGUAAUUUUCAUGUGUUGAUGGGCUACAUGCACUUUGACACAGUCAAGAUAAUAUGGUUCUGAGGGUGCCCUUAUAAACACUUUAACAGAGACAUUUCAAGAUAGGACUAUAGAAAGAGAGGAAUUUUUGUUUCCAUUAUAGGGUAGUCAUCACCAUGACCCUGUUUCUGCUUUGAGACAAACUCUAAAGCACUUAGAUUUGAGCUUAGGUUUCAAGUAUUCAUGGUCCACAACAAAUGGAGCAUCAACCAACCACAUCAACACCAGCUCAUUCACUGCCUGAGAAAAAAAAAUUCCCUGAAAAAAGCAGGAGAGAGCUGUUUGGUACCAACACAGAAAAAAAAAACCCCACAGCUUUGUGAUCAAAUGAUUUGCAGUGACACAGAAGUAACAUGGGAAAACAACAGAAAACACAACUUAUUUGACAUCAGGACAUGGAAGGCAGCAUUAAACCAGCAUCAUCAUCCAUGGAGACCCUCAACAAAGAGAAACAAACUAAAGUGUGAUGACACUUUUUAUGUACAAAGAACUGGAGGAAGUAACUUUUUGGACAACCUCCACAGCUGUUAACUAUGAGGCUAACAACCUUUUGGCAACACAUAUGCUAACAGAUAUCAUCAUCUGUUUUUGACAAAUACAUCAAGCAAUAAUUGUAAUUAAGUUAGCCUAUUACUGUACCUAUUUUUUGCAAGUUGUUUGAACAGCAAAUGUAACUAUCUUUUGAACGUUACCACAAUAUCUACAUUAGUGGUGAUGUUACUAAAACAUGAUCUAUAUCUUCUGUUAUAAAACUUACUUCUCAGCUA